UACGUAGGGGCUAGCGUUGUCCGGAUUAUUGGGCGUAAAGAGCUCGUAGGCGGCUCGUUGCGUCGGCUGUGAAACCCGCAGCUCAACUGUGGGCUUGCAGCCGAUACGGGCGGGCUGGAGUUCGGUAGGGGAGACUGGAAUUCCUGGUGUAGCGGUGGAAUGCGCAGAUAUCAGAGGACACCGAUGGCGAAGGCAGGUCUCUGGGCCGCAACUGACGCUGAGGAGCGAAAGCAUGGGGAGCGAACAGG
rnacentral:rRNA from 1 species